CCUACGAGGUGCAGCAGUGGGGAAUAUUGGACAAUGGGCGAAAGCCUGAUCCAGCCAUGCCGCGUGUGUGAAGAAGGCCUUCGGGUUGUAAAGCACUUUCAGUGGGGAAGAAAGCCUUGGGGCUAAUACCCUCGAGGAAGGACAUCACCCACAGAAGAAGCACCGGCUAACUCCGUGCCAGCAGCCGCGGUAAUACGGAGGGUGCGAGCGUUAAUCGGAAUUACUGGGCGUAAAGCGCGCGUAGGCGGUCUGAUAAGCCGGUUGUGAAAGCCCCGGGCUCAACCUGGGAACGGCAUCCGGAACUGUCAGGCUAGAGUGCAGGAGAGGAAGGUAGAAUUCCCGGUGUAGCGGUGAAAUGCGUAGAGAUCGGGAGGAAUACCAGUGGCGAAGGCGGCCUUCUGGACUGACACUGACGCUGAGGUGCGAAAGCGUGGGUAGCAAACAGGAUUAGAUACCCCAGUAGUC
rnacentral:rRNA from 1 species